rnacentral:rRNA from 1 species
AAUAGAUACCCAGGUAGUCCACGCCGUAAACGAUGAGUGCUAAGUGUUAGGGGGUUUCCGCCCCGUUAGUGCUGCAGCUAACGCAUUAAGCACUCCGCCUGGGGAGUACGGUCGCAAGACUGAAACUCAAAGGAAUUGACGGGGGGCCCGCACAAGCGGUGGAGCAUGUGGUUUAAUUCGAAGCAACGCGAAGAACCUUACCAGGUCUUGACAUCCCAUUGACCACUAUGGAGACAUAGUUUUCCCUUCGGGGACAACGGUGACAGGUGGUGCAUGGUUGUCGUCAGCUCGUGUCGUGAGAUGUUGGGUUAAGUCCCGCAACGAGCGCAACCCUUGUUCUUAGUUGCCAUCAUUUAGUUGGGCACUCUAAGGAGACUGCCGGUGACAAACCGGAGGAAGGUGGGGAUGACGUCAAAUCAUCAUGCCCCUUAUGACCUGGGCUACACACGUGCUACAAUGGACGGUACAAACGGUUGCCAACCCGGCAGGGGGGAGCUAAUCCGGAUAAAACCGUUCUCAGUUCGAAUUGUAGGCUGCAACUCGCCUACAUGAACG